rnacentral:misc_RNA from 1 species
CACAAUAAACAUAUGAAGGCUGCACCGCCAACAGGCGGCAAGGCUGGAGUAUUUUAUUACCCUUGUCUUUUGCGCACUUGUUGUUUCCUGGGCGGGUUCGCCCGCCUCCAGGACCACAUGAUAAACCUUUUUUAUGGCAGUUGCAAUCAGCGUCAGUACAACAAAUGUAAAUCAUUUA